UAACUGUCUCUUACAGGCAAUCGGUGAANUUGAUCUCCCUGUGCGAAAGCAGGGAUAACCACAUAAGACGAGAAGACCCUGUGGAACUUCAAAAACAGCAACCACCCCAAAAUACAUCCACCCCCACCCCGGGCUCACUUACUCCUAAAGCACUGGUUGCAUUUUUUCGGUUGGGGCGACCUUGGAGCAAAACAAAACCUCCAAAAAUUGGACCAUAACUCCAGACUAAGAGCAACCCCUCAACGUGCGAGCAGCACCCAGAUCCAAUACAAUUGAUCAAUGGACCAAGCUACCCCAGGGAUAACAGCGCAAUCUCCCCCAAGAGUCCAUAUCGACAGGGAGGUUUACGACCUCGAUGUUGGAUCAGGACAUCCUAGUGGUGCAGCAGCUACUAAGGGUUCGUUUGUUCAACGAUUAACAGUCCUACGUGAUCUGAGUUCAGACCGGAGCAAUCCAGGUCGGUUUCUAUCUAUGACGAACUCUUCCCCGUACGAAAGGAUAGGAACAGUGAGGCCAAUACCACAAGCAAGCCUUCGCCUUAAGUAAUGAAGCCAACUCAAUUACAAAAGGCUAUCACACUCCCCACGUCCUAGAAAAGGACCAGCUAGCGUGGCAGAGCCAGGUAAAUGCAAAAGG
rnacentral:rRNA from 1 species